AAAUUGCAAUGAUACAGGGAGGAUUAAGCAUGGCCCCUGCGAAAGGAUGACGUGCAAAUUCGUGAAGCACAAAGAGAGAGA
ensembl:snRNA U6 U6 spliceosomal RNA